rnacentral:tRNA from 1 species
GGGGUAAUAGUAUAAAUUAGUAUGUUUCACUUUCAAUGAAGAGGUAAUUUUAUCCUA